rnacentral:lncRNA from 1 species
CGGAAGAGGGGACACCGCUUUGGCGGCUGCAGAAGCUUCCUCCGGAGCAGGGCGCCGGGCUCCUUCACAAAAUCAUCGACGGCAUCUGCGGCCGAGCUUAUCCUGCCCACCAAGAUUAUCACAGUGUCUGGAAUUCAACUGAGUGGAAGCAUGUCCUAGAAGAUGUUACCACAUUUUUCAAAGCCGUAGUUGGCAAAAACUUUUCUGAGGAAGAGGUAGUUUCAAUCAAACCUCUUUACCUGAUAACGGGCACCACCCAGAGGUUCUAACGAUGUUCAUAGGUUCUACCCACGUGUUCAUAGCUGAUCACAGCCACAGCAACCGAGGGUCUAAUCCCGAACACUCCAGCAAUUGAACCAACUGAAUUCAUGUCAUCAAGAAGCUGUUAUGAAAUGUUUAAAGAGUAGGAAAAAUGAGAUCAAGCAGGCCCUGUUAGGAGAAAUAGUUGAUAUUUCUUGUGCACAGCUGCAGGAUUUUGAUUGGCAGUUAAAGCUUGCCCUUUCCAGUGACAAGAUCGCCACCUUGCAGAUGCCCCUUUUAAACCUUCAUCUGGAUGUGAAGGAGGACGGAGAAGUGAAGCCAUACUCUGUUGAAAUGAGUAAAGAGGAAUUACAGAGUCUGAUCAGCUCCUUGGAGGCAGCUAAUAAGGU